AUUUGACCAGCAGCUGAUUGAACAUACAGUUCACAGUUUUCCCUCGUCCGACCGAGUGCAGAUAUUUUCAUCUGUAUUUCAAGUUGAAAUUCUGAAUUUCAAAUAGUUAGUCAUCAAUUAUUUCACUGGAGCAUGAUUGCCAUGCAAUAAGAAACGUAUCGAAAUACGAAGCUACCCCGUGCAAAAUUGAAAAUGAAGCGGUCAUCGCUGGAAAGUGCCAUCCCUGGUACCUCCGACUCGUCCCUGACCGAGGCCGAAACAGGGGUCAGACCUCAAAAGAGAAGAUCUUCGGAGAACAAGGCAUGGGAAAAAUUUUUUCAAGGAAAACAAAAAGAUUUUGCCAUCUUUGGUAAGACAGCAUCUACUUCAAAAACACCACCUUCAAAAACACCACUCUCAAAACCACCACUCUUAAAACCACCACGCAAAAAAACCCUCUCAAAACCACCAACCCCAAAAACACCCCCUAGAAAAGAGCCCUCAGAUGAUGAGGAGUUUGAAAUUGAGGAAUACGACUCCCCCCCCACGAACCCGUUAUGUAAUUCCGAUACAAACCAAAAUACUGACAUUGACGGGACGACGAAAAAAAAGUACUCUUUGGUCGAAGAAAUGAAAGCACUUCUCACCCCGUACGAAAACUCGGUCCGAAGAUUCCCACAAUAUAUUUAUGACCACACUUACGAGUACGACGAAUCUCAAGCUGUCACACUUAUCAUUAGGCACGUUUGUGGAACUCGGGACAAACUAGUUUGGACAAUCUGUCGCCUCGUGGAACGUGAUAUAGAUCGUUGCGUUAUGUUUCGACCGUUGUAUUUGUACGAGAUAAAGUUAGGCGCUGUACUCCAGUUGUAUCCCCCGUGGCAAGAAAUAGAAAUGCCUGGAUUUCCCAUGCCGAUUCUGAUGUGUACAGAUUUCUAUAGGGUUCCUCUCAAGAGAGAAAAUAAUUUUGGAGUAUCGCACGACACGAUAAGCGCCUUAGUAUCGGCCCCAAACCCAUUCAGGGGAAGUUACAUCAAAGCAACGUCGCCAGAAUGUGGCCUUAAUUUCCUGCUGUCUAAAUGCACCCCGUUCCACCUGAGUAAUGAAAAAACAAUCAGUAUCCAGACUAAAAAGUGUAAACCAUCGAUCGAUCUAAAUGCCAUAAUGUACCCAAUAUCGAGCCAAAUGUGGCCCAAAUUCCGCCAAACUGGCGUAUUAAUUUCCGACUCGGAUCAUUUGUUUUCCCUUUUACAACUUCCUGAACUCGACAGUGGAAAAAGGGAGCAACUCGACAAAUCCAUAAAGCCGGGAAAAUAUAUCAAAUUUAAGAAACUUGGAGUCGUCUCGAAAAUAAGCAUUUUAGAAGAUUUCUCCUUGUUUCCAAUUAUUCGCCGGUUGGGAUCAAAUCAAACCUUGUUUUAUACGCUGUGCUUUAGACAUGAUACUGAGUGGAGGGAAGAAGCAAACUUGGACUUUCCAUAUAAACCUCCUUCUUAUUGAAACGUCGCUAUGAUGAAAUCUGAGUUACGUUAAGACUGCAACCAUGAUAAGGGCAAAAGGCGCUAGGCAAGAUUACUUAUCGAAAAUUUAAACAUCUAACGAUAAAAAUUGUUAAGGCCAUGCUUUCUAUCUAAAUAUGUCCGAAAUUGUUAAUUUUUUUGAUUAGUCUUACAAUGCGAUGUUAAAUAUGUAAUUAACUACGUAUGCCCAUAAUUACAUAGGUGCUCAACUAUUUUUUAUGAAUUGAAAAUAAUCAAAUUCUUUAUUGUUAUUUAAUUUUGUACAAAUACAUUAUUACAUUAUUAUGUGUAUGUAUAUUUACAUAUAAAUAUUUAAAUCAAACAUAACUAGUUGAUUGAAACUGUCACUAAAAAUAUUUCCGUAAUGAUCAAUUUACCUUGUAUAAUUUAACAUAUGCUUACAUUCGUAGAACUAGAUAAAUAUACAACUCGUGUUAAGAAAUGCAAAGUCUAUUUCCGUGAAUUAUAAAAAUUACAUAAAACCAGU